AGGACGAACGCUGGCGGCGUGCUUAACACAUGCAAGUCGAGCGGUAAGGCCCUUCGGGGUACACGAGCGGCGAACGGGUGAGUAACACGUGGGUGACCUGCCCUUAGCUCUGGGAUAAGCCUGGGAAACCGGGUCUAAUACCGGAUAGGACUCCAUGACGCAUGUUGUGGGGUGGAAAGCCUUGUGCGGCUAGGGAUGGGCCCGCGGCCUAUCAGCUUGUUGGUGGGGUGAUUGCCUACCAAGGCGACGACGGGU
rnacentral:rRNA from 1 species